AAACCCUAAACUCUAAACCCUAAACCCUAAACUCUAAACCCUAAACCAACCCCCAAACUCGAACCCCGAAACCCCAACCCCCAAACCCGAAACCCGAAACCCUAAACCCUAAACCCUAAACCAUAAACCUUAAAAUCUAAACCCUAAACCCUAAACUCUAAACCCUAAAUCCUAAACCCCACCCUUUAACUCUAAACCCUAAGUUU
rnacentral:lncRNA from 1 species